UGGGGAAUAUUGGACAAUGGGCGCAAGCCUGAUCCAGCCAUGCCGCGUGUGUGAAGAAGGCCUUUUGGUUGUAAAGCACUUUAAGCGAGGAGGAGGCUACUUGGAUUAAUACUCUUAGAUAGUGGACGUUACUCGCAGAAUAAGCACCGGCUAACUCUGUGCCAGCAGCCGCGGUAAUACAGAGGGUGCGAGCGUUAAUCGGAUUUACUGGGCGUAAAGCGUGCGUAGGCGGCUUCUUAAGUCGGAUGUGAAAUCCCUGAGCUUGACUUAGGAAUUGCAGUCUGUACUGGGAAGCUGGAGGAUGGGAGAGGAUGGUAGAAGUCCAAGUGUAGCGGUUAAAUGCGUAGAGAUCUGGAGGAAUGCCGAUGGCGGAGGCAGGCAUCUGGCCUAAUACUGACGCUGAGGUACGAAAGCAUGGGGAGCAAACAGGA
rnacentral:rRNA from 1 species